GUUAAUGACCCAUCGUCCGUCUCACCUUCACUGCAAGAAAUCGACGAUGUCCGCCGCAUUGUCGUCGAAGGUGCGACCCAUUUCUUCAUGCUCUUUAUCUUCCUCCUUGUAGUUGCAGCAUCGGAGCUGGUUGUUUGAGAUGGUUGCGUUUUGUUCUAGAUUUGAGAAAUGGGUUUUGUUGUUUUUUCCAUAUCUAAAAAAUGGUGUACUCGUUGUUGCCAUGGAAGGAAGAGUCGCUGCACUUUGAUGUUGUCGUCGGUGUCUUCAUUCAAUGUCGUUAGUGGUUGCAGUGGUGUCGUUGUCGUUAGCUCAUGUGGCGGUGGAGCGGUGGUUCAUUGAUGUCGUGCGGUGGGUCGACGCCGCUUGGUGGGUCAUCGUCGCAGUGUUGCGGCGGUGCGGUGGUUCCUCCACGCGGGGAUGCUAGUGUCGCAGAAAGAGAAAGGGAAAAUGAUAGAGAAGGUACCAAAGGAAGAAAGGUACACAUCAAUGCUUAGCUGGUAAAGUUGGUGUGGACUAGUACAAAAGAAAACACUUAUAACAUAGGAAUUUUACGUAGGCUAUUCAAAAAAAUCCUUGUUCCACCAAUCAUCUAAUGCCAUGUUAAGUCUUGGCAUAACAUCAUAAUAGAUCACAUUGACUAGAUUGUGUUUCUCACCAUCAAGAGAUGAGAGAAAGGAGACAUAGUUUGAAUCCGCGGCGACGAUAGGAGAAGAGAAUUAGAGAGGUUAUUGGAGAAGGGAGCCAAAGGGGAGAUACAGAAACCACGUUGUUUUUUUUUUUAUUAUUUUUUACUUAUGGCACAAUAACAAUGUUAAAACGUGGGAAUUUGAAAUAUAAUUUUUUUAA